rnacentral:rRNA from 1 species
AUUGAACGCUGGCGGCAGGCCCAACACAUGCAAGUCGAGCGGAUGAAGGUAGCUUGCUACCUGAUUCAACGGCGGACGGGUGAGUAAUGCCUAGGAAUCUGCCUGGUAGUGGGGGACAACGUUUCGAAAGGAACGCUAAUACCGCAUACGUCCUACGAGAGAAAGUGGGGGAUCUUCGGACCUCACGCUAUCAGAUGAGCCUAGGUACGAUUAGCUAGUUGGUGAGGUAAAGGCUCACCAAGGCGACGAUCGUUAACUGGUCUGAGAGGAUGAUCAGGCACACUGGAACUGAGACACGGUCCAGACUCCUACGGGAGGCAGCAGUGGGGAAUAUUGGACAAUGGGCGAAAGCCUGAUCCAGCCAGGCCGCGUGUGUGAAGAAGGUCUUCGGAUUGUAAAGCACUUUAAGUUGGGAGGAAGGGCAGUAAGUUAAUACCUUGCUGUUUUGACGUUACCGACAGAAUAAGCACCGGCUAACUUCGUGCCAGCAGCCGCGGUAAUAC